GAAAUGCGAUAAGUAAUGUGAAUUGCAGAAUUCAGUGAAUCAUCGAAUCUUUGAACGCACAUUGCGCCCGCCAGCACUGUGGCGGGCAUGCCUGGUCGAGCGUCAUUUCAAGCAUCAAGCCCCCGGGCUUGCGUUGGGGACCUGCGGCUGCCCGCCGGCCCUGAAAACCAGUGGCGGGCUCGCUGUCACCCCGGUCGUAGUAGUACCAUCUCGUCCAGGGCGUGGCUGCGGCCUCCCGACGUUAAACCUUCUCACACCCAAAGUUUGACCUCGGAUCAGGUAGGAAUACCCGCUGAACUUAA
rnacentral:misc_RNA from 1 species